rnacentral:rRNA from 1 species
AUUGAACGCUGGCGGCAGGCCUAACACAUGCCAGUCGAACGGUAACAGGAAGAAGCUUGCUUCUUUGCUGACGAGUGGCGGACGGGUGAGUAAUGUCUGGGAAACUGCCUGAUGGAGGGGGAUAACUACUGGAAACGGUAGCUAAUACCGCAUAACGUCGCAAGACCAAAGAGGGGGACCUUCGGGCCUCUUGCCAUCGGCUGUGCCCAGAUGGGAUUAGCUAGUAGGUGGGGUAACGGCUCACCUAGGCGACGAUCCCUAGCUGGUCUGAGAGGAUGACCAGCCACACUGGAACUGAGACACGGUCCAGACUCCUACGGGAGGCAGCAGUGGGGAAUAUUGCACAAUGGGCGCAAGCCUGAUGCAGCCAUGCCGCGUGUAUGAAGAAGGCCUUCGGGUUGUAAAGUACUUUCAGCGGGGAGGAAGGGAGUAAAGUUAAUACCUUUGCUCAUUGACGUUACCCGCAGAAGAAGCACCGGCUAACUCCGUG